rnacentral:rRNA from 1 species
UACGAGGGGGCAAGCGUUGUUCGGAAUUAUUGGGCGUAAAGGGUUCGUAGGCGGUGUGGCAAGUCGGGAGUGAAAUCUCUGGGCUCAACUCAGAGACUGCUUCCGAAACUGCUGUGCUGGAGUGUGGGAGAGGCGCGUGGAAUUGCAGGUGUAGCGGUGAAAUGCGUAGAUAUCUGCAGGAACACCCGUGGCGAAAGCGGCGCGCUGGACCACUACUGACGCUGAGGAACGAAAGCUAGGGGAGCAAACAGG